GGAUGAUAAGAUAUUCGCUCCCCCGCGGUUCCUGCACGGGUUCGGAGGAGGCGGGAACGUAGUGCGGUGCUACUAUGGUAACGGCAGCGCGAGACAUUGCGCUAUAAUUGGUGCGAGGCAGCGUAGCGGCACUUCCAGGAAAAUGUGGAAUAUUCCACAAGUCAACAGGAAGUUGCGUCAUCUGAAUUUCCUGAGGAUUGUGGUAAGAAGAAAACUAACAGCGUAGCCCAUGGCUGUACAUCCAUUUGGCACAGAAACAAAGGAAGGAUGCGGUGAAUCACUUAACACCCUGGGGCUCUCUCUCUCUCUUUCUUUCUCUCUCACUCCUUUAUAUAACUCUAUAUAGUGAUCAGAAUUUAUAUGAUGAUCUAUAUGAUAUUCAGCCGGCUGUGUUGAAGCCCAGACAAAGCGAGCAACACUACCGCAUAGUGAUGAGAUGGUGGACACACAACCUGGAGCUGUGUGUGGAUGUGCAGGAAGGUUGUGAGGGUACUGGGGAUUUCACAAAGGAAGAGAAACCAAGACCUG
ensembl:lncRNA